AGAUGAAAAAUCAGAGUAAUAAACUAGAGAUUUUGCGGAAAUGAUGUGAAAUGAUAAGAGAAUAGAACACAUAAAUAGGUUUCAGGAGUUUAGUGCUCUGAUACCAUGAGAGUUUAUGAGAUUAUUGAGACUUUAUGUGAAGAACAUAGAGAAAACAGAGAGAGAUUUACGGAUGGAAGCAAAGAAGUGAGGAACUGAAUCCUUAAUUAAUUUAGUGUCUGGUUACAUUCUUAAUAUAGACUACAAGUGGCCAUGCCAUGACAAACUAGAAACUCUAAACAAUGGAAGCAAGUAAGACAAACUUGCUUGGACAUAAGGGAUGAUAGUGACAUCUCGCCAAUCUCUCUCAUCCUUAACAUAACAUGUGAUCUCUCUUUGUUCCCUAGUUCCAACGGUCUCCUCCUUUUAUAUUAAACAUCUCCAUAGAGUUAGGACACUCCCACACGUGAUCUAUGUCCAUGUUUCUCCAUU
rnacentral:lncRNA from 1 species